rnacentral:lncRNA from 1 species
AGCUCGUAUGUGCACACCUCAGGUGAGGUUUCAGUUGGCAAAAGCUUUCUUCUCCAAAAGUGUUUUUAAUCUUUGUUUUGACCUCAUGAUAAGUUCUACCUUUUACUGUUCCCUUGGUGUUCCAACUAGCAGCCGUGACCAUUUUGUGGCUACUCAAGGCUACGAACCUGUGUGUUUUCUUUAAAAUUCAUAAUUUGCAAUUUUGAGGAUCAUUCUAUUGGUAAAGCCAUGACUCAAGGCUGAAUUGAUUAUGCGUAUGUGCUUCAGAACAGCAUAUAUUGGAUUCUGCUGAAACAUUUUUUAGGCCUAGGAUUCAGCAGAGAUGAGUUUUGAUGAUGGUCUCAAGUGCUUUUCUGAUAUCAGCCUAGAGAAAGCAAUGCAGCCAAUUCGCAGACAUGUUAACAAGUUACAUUCAAGAUACUGCUCAUGUAAAGAACCAGACUCUGAAUAUCUUUCUCUUUCUGUUUCCCAGUCCAGGUUCCUUUGGACGCUAACUUGAUGUAUGAUACAAGUACAAUUCACUGUUUCAAAGUUCUCUGUUACUCCUUGCACCCAUAUGAAUAAGAGUACAUUGUUAUGAUACUGAAACAUCAGUGUUCAAUAUUACAUGUGUUUUACUGUACACAUUAUUGCUUGUCAUGUAUACUUUCUAAAUCUUUCAGGUUUACUGCAGACUAAUCAAACUUUUGUAUAACAUGUUUUCACUUUUCA